rnacentral:rRNA from 1 species
GGGUUAAGUCCCGCAACGAGCGCAACCCCUCGCUGCCUGUUGCCACCACGAGAGGUGGGGACUCAGGCGGGACCGCCGGUGACAAACCGGAGGAAGGUGGGGACGACGUCAAGUCAUCAUGGCCCUUAUGUCCUGGGCUACACACGUGCUACAAUGGCCGGUACAGAGCGCAGCGAGGCCGCGAGGCGGAGCGAAUCGCUUAAAGCCGGUCCCAGUACGGAUUGGAGUCUGCAACCCGACUCCAUGAAGUUGGAAUCGCUAGUAAUCGCGCAUCAGCAUGGCGCGGUGAAUACGUUCCCGGGCCUU